AUUUUGCAGUAUCUAAAGACAUUUUUAAUUGUUAAAACCAUAGCCUCCUUGGAACAAGUGGAAAGUGGGAAGGGGGCCGGAAGUGCUGCUAACUAGGGAAGUACAGCUUCUGCCAACAGCUAGCCAGUCUAUCACUUCAAGGAUUCUGAGAGGGAUGCAGAUGAACCGAUGCAGACGUGCACUGUACAGAAGACAGAGGGCCAUCUUCAGAGAAAAGAUUUGACAAGAAUGCAGAGCACUCUGUAAUACUUAAAGUUACUUAUUAACUCUGUCCUCCUGAUAGCUAAUCAAUGGCAUUGCAGAGAGUCAAAUUUGGUGCACUAAACUGCCCCCUUGCCUAAAGCCAAGUCUUGGCUAUGAGUCACAAUUGCACAUGUGUACAAAGAGAAAGACAGACUGUAUCCGGGAUAUUUUUCCAGCAAGUUGAGUUCUGAAACUGGACAGUAUGGCAUGAUGCUCUAUGUGAUUUGGUUCUAAACCGUCUUUAGUAUGGUUUUUCUCAGAAAAUGGCUGCAGGAAUCACAAAACCCAGCAGGAGUACCUAACCCAGACCGAACAGGGGAUCACAGAGGAGCUGAAGGAUGACAUAAAUGUCUUGGCUAAGGGUGAAAAGUAAGAAUUCAUCAAGAAGAAGCAGGGCAGUCAAACAAGAGCAAGUUGUGCAUACUGUCAUGGAGGUGUGAGAAAUCUAUGCUGGCAGCAUUUGUCUUUCAUGGCCUUACAUAGUUGUCUGGUUCUAAGAGACUUUAUAGAUCAGUGGUUCUCCACCUACGGAUGUGACCACCUUAGGGUCACAUAAAAGAUAUCUGUAUACCAGAUAUUUACAUUAAGAUUCAUAACGGUAGCAAAAUUACAGUUAUGAAGUAGCAACACAAUAUUUAUGGUUGAGGUCACCAUAACAUGAGGGGCUGCAUUAAAGAGUUGCAGCAUUAGGAAGAUUGAGAAUCACUGCUUUAGAUUCUUAGAACAUAGGCAAGGGAAAGAUUUCUGAGACACAGUAGUACCCUCCCUUCUCUGACCCCAAGAAAAAUCCCACAUUGUAGUUGCUGGGAAGUCAGUGGAGAACACAAAAGGUCUGGUUGAGGACCCAGAAUCCCCAGCCACUCAGGGAAUAUCUAGAGCAUGCAAUUCUGUCUUCUUCCUGCUAGAUACUGUGCUAGGUGUUCGGGUUAGGGACAGAAUGUAAGAAUAGUUUCCCCAGCGUUAGCAAAGACCCACGUGGCUGAUGCAGGGUGGACCCAGAGGCCACUCCCUCUCACCAGCAGUCUACUCUGUACUCAAGGUGCCAACACAAAUCCUUGAAUAUCAACAAGAUGCAUUGAUUAAUCUAUAAAUAUUUUCAAAUGUU
ensembl:antisense Gm16246 predicted gene 16246